UAAUGCUCUUUGGCGACACUUGACAAUUGUGAAAUGGAAGAUAUUGCCGUUUCCUCGCAUUACUUUAAGUUUAAACAAUAGUAGGCCAUAGACUGGAAAAUAUUGCUCUUUGGCGAUACUUGACAAUUGUGAAAUGGAAGAUAUUGCCGUUUCCUCGUAUUCCUUUAAAUUUUAAACAAUUCCAAAGGCACGCACGCACAUGCAUAGAAAGCGUGGACGGGCGGACACAUGGGUUUGGAGAAACCUACCAACAUUUCAGAUUUAUCAUUUUAUGAUGCAAACAUCUUCCUAUCCACGUAAUUCUCGACAACAACAAAAUAUAGAUAGCGAAUAGCGAACCUGAAUAGUGCAAAGAAUCCAUAGGAUUCAACAAUCAUUCCAAUGAUGGGGAAGCCCAGCAGAACGAUGAAGAUUCCACCAAAGAAGGCGGUUGUGCCUUUUACUUUAUGCCGUUGAAAGAAAAAGCGCAAAGUUCGCUCCACGCCGAUUACACAUCCCAGUCCCGAAAUGAACAGAAUCUGCAGGUGAGGAGAACAAUUUGUUAAUUAUGGGUCGUACUUUGGGUGGUGCGCCAGCUAUUGCACAUACAUUUCCAAUUGCGAGUAAACCUUUGUCGAACAGAAGCAGCAUGCCAAGAAACAAAAACGAUAUGCCGAAGCCAGCCAAGCCGAUGCCAAUUUCUAUGAAAAGGGUUUGAAAUGAGCUCACAGAAGUGUUACAAUAGUUGUAUGAACAAUGGACGUACUUUGCAGAUCUGUUACUUCAAUCAUUGUGUCCCUUUUUUGUUUAUUUAGGUGAGAGUUUCGGACCUGAUUGGAAAUUCCACGUAAACACGUAAAUUAUUUAAAAAUUGGAACAGCUGAUU